UACAGAGGUCUCGAGCGUUGUUCGGAUUCAUUGGGCGUAAAGGGUGCGUAGGUGGCGAGGUAAGUCGGAUGUGAAAUCCCGGGGCUCAACCCCGGAACUGCAUUCGAUACUGCCCUGCUAGAGUACUGGAGAGGAGAUUGGAAUUUACGGUGUAGCAGUGAAAUGCGUAGAUAUCGUAAGGAAGACCAGUGGCGAAGGCGGAUCUCUGGACAGUUACUGACACUGAGGCACGAAGGCCAGGGGAGCAAACGG
rnacentral:rRNA from 1 species